CGUGCAGGAUGAAUGCCCUAUGGGUUGUAAACUGCUUUUAUACAAGAAGAAACAUCAGUACGUGUACUGACUUGACGGUAUUGUAUGAAUAAGCACCGGCUAACUCCGUGCCAGCAGCCGCGGUAAUACGGAGGGUGCGAGCGUUAUCCGGAUUUAUUAGGUUUAAAGGGUCCGCAGGCGGAAUAUUAAGUCAGUGGUGAAAGCCUACAGCUCAACUGUAGAACUGCCAUUGAAACUGUUAUUCUUGAGUAUGGAUGAAGUGGGCGGAAUAUGUCAUGUAGCGGUGAAAUGCAUAGAUAUGACAUGGAACACCAAUUGCGAAGGCAGCUCACUAAACCAUUACUGACGCUCAUGGACGAAAGCGUGGGGAGCGAACAGGAUUAGAUACCCUGGUAGUCCACGCCGUAAACGAUGAUCACUAGAUGUUGGCGAUAUAAUGUCAGCGUUCAAGAGAAAUCGAUAAGUGAUCCACCUGGGGAGUACGUUCGCAAGAAUGAAACUCAAAGGAAUUGACGGGGGCCCGCACAAGCGGAGGAGCAUGUGGUUUAAUUCGAUGAUACGCGAGGAACCUUACCAAGGCUUAAAUGUAAUAUGACCGGUUGAGAGAUCAACCUUUUUUCGAACAGAUUACAAGGUGCUGCAUGGUUGUCGUCAGCUCGUGCCGUGAGGUGUUAGGUUAAGUCCUGCAACGAGCGCAACCCCUAUUCUUAGUUGCCAGCGGUUCGGCCGGGGACUCUAAGAAGACUGCCAGCGCAAGCUGAGAGGAAGGUGGGGAUGACGUCAAAUCAUCACGGCCCUUACG
rnacentral:rRNA from 1 species